rnacentral:ncRNA from 2 species
UCAACGAAUUACCUCCGAGCCUUGGAACCUGGGAUGGCAGAUUAUGGUUCCCAGGCCCAUAGGGUUUAUCUGGAAACGGGUAAGCCUCCCGUGCGGAAAGGAUGGUAAGUGUUUUUCUU